CUGAGAGAACGUGUUUCCUCUGGGACCAGCACCUGAAACUAGAGAGUGGUUUCUCUGAAACUGAAGGUACAAGAUGUAGUUUCAUCACAGUCACAGGUCUCUUUCCAGGUAGCACUGAACAUCCAAAUACAACCUUUCCUCUGGAUUUUUUUGCUCAGUUUGCAUAUGCUGUUGCUGUACUCAGGAAGCAUCUAGGUCUUUAUCUGAUCUCUGUGGCAAAAAAGCAAGAAUAGACAGAUCACUGAGCACAAGGAUCAGCUGAACCAGAGGAAGCAGGAGCUGAACAGCAAUUAGGAGCAGCUCAGUGCCAUCCCAGCCCUCCUGACCAGGUUCUGACUCCAGGGUCUCCUAAAGCCUUUGACCCUUGGCUAAAGGGUACCUUGUGGUGUAAUCAGCAGGACCAGGUUUAAUACGUGAUUUGAACACAGCCACAGUAAGCAGGAGGAUGCUAUUCAAGAUUAUGGGUUGUCCAACUUAGAAGAAGCUGGAGACCAUUAAGUAUCCAAGCAAAGAGACUCAUGGAGGAAACACAGGUAGAAGAAAGCACCAGAGCUGGAAGUUUGACUGUGCUCCACACUUGCUGUCAGGCCACCACAGUGGCAGCCCAGCCUGAGGGAACCCAGAAGCAAAGUGGAACUGGAGACUGGCUGCAGGCAAGGUUUCCACAGAGAUCUUUCUGGUUUCCCUGAGGUGAUGUGGUAUUAAAGACUUGAAGAGAUGGAAAAUUAUCUCGGAUAGCUGUGAGAUGGCCUGUGAUAGAGGAAGGAUUCCAGAGACAGCAUGACCAAAAGAGGAGGACAGGAGGAAGAUGGCUGAAAGGAGUGAGAGUAUACAGAGGUAAUGGCAGGGGAGGGUCAGAAAAGAGAGAAAUGUUAAAGAUGAGUCAAAAAAAAACCCAGACUGUAAAUAAAGGUUUGUGCUGGUGAG